GCGACUAGAAUAGAAGAUGUGCUUCAGGUGAAAGAAUAGAAAAAACAAUCUGGGCCUUCCGAUCGAAGAUAGACACUAUAGAUUACAGCGGAGCGAUCUGCACGGACAAUUAGCAAAAUGGUUCCUCGGUUCAGGUUAAUUUACGUCCGACAUCCUUCUCCUCCAAGCGCGAUCCCCUCCCCUCAUCAGCGGCAACAGCCCUCCUGGAUCAACCCCCUGUCGCCGAUCUCCUCUAGCUUGCCGAGGAUGAUGCCGGCGGUCUAGAUCUGGUGCCCAGUUAGCGAGUAAGCCCAGUUUAGCUGUUGUUCUAUCUCCUCUCAGAUGGCUCCUACCUGCUCGUCGACUGCGGUCGGCCUGCCCCGAAAGACCUCACCUUGUGCUGCCAUGCGACGUCGGGGGAACAAGCUCGCCCCAGUACUGUGCUCGGACGUCCAGAGCACUACCUCCCCUCAUCCUUUGUCCUGCCCAGCCCCACCAUUCUCCACCUUGCCCCCCAACCCCCGCGCGCCUAGCUCCGCCAUCUGCCAUUCUGUCGACGGCGGAGAAGAAAACUUCAGACUUCAGAUGGAUGAUGACGUGACAUCUGGAAGCAUAAGGACUAGAGAUGGAGAGAAGAAGCGUUUAGCAAAGAUAAUUUUAAUUAUUCCCUUGCAAUCGCAAGAAUUUAUCUGCAAGAUAAUUUCAAUUAUUUUGUUAAGCAUACACCGACACAUAUCUGUGCUCAACUGAAUCGUGUUUGUUUGGUGUGAUCUCUCCCAGUACAUGAAGCUCGAUGAGCAAGAAGCGGCGGAACUGGAGGGAAAAGCUAUAGCUUCUCGGUCAUGUACCCUCAAGAUAGUAAAGCUGAUGCAAUUAUUAAUGGCAAUGCUUGUUGAGAUAUGAUUAUAUUAGUCCUUUAUAACUAAGAGUUAGUCUUGCUGGCCAAGUACUAAAAAGAUCCUCUUAUGUAUCACUUGAUAUGUAUGCGAGUCUCUUGUUCCAGUUUGGCAUGUCAUGUAACAUUUGACAUGCAUGUGGCCCAGAGUGGACCCAGAAAAUGGAAUACCUUGCUGAAAUCCAUUUUCACCAGUAUAUUCAUAUGUGGUUGUGUA